GGAGGUGGCUCAAAGUUAAGAGCACUGGCUGCUCUUCCAGAGGACCUGGGUUCAAUUCCCAGCACCUACA
rnacentral:tRNA from 1 species